rnacentral:lncRNA from 1 species
AUGUGUUUUAUGAAAAACUGGACUUUGUAGCAAGCUCUUAGUAAUCUUCAUUUUGUUAUUUGUGGUUUUUGAUGUGUUUUAUGGUUGACAUUUUAUUGUUUUAUAACUUUUUACACUUUUUAGAAAAUUUGGACUUUGUAGCAAGCUCUUAGUAAUCUUCAUUUUGUUAUUUGUGGUUUUUGGAUGUGUUUUAUGGUUGACAUUUUGGUGUUUUAUAACUUUUUACACUUUUUAAAAAAUUUGGACUUUGUAGCAAACUCCUAGCCUAUAGGGCGUGUUCUAAAGUGAACAUUAGUGUAUUUGUGAACUGAGUGAACAAAUCCUGACCAUUGACUUACAUCAUUAAAUCGUAAAAUACAGUUGUAACGCCCUGCGUUUUCAAACAUCCUACAUUUAGAAACCUUACGUGAAAUUCUAUCUUUGGAAAUCUUGUGUUCUUAUAACCAUUCUUUCAUCGUAAUCGUUGUAAAAUACGGAACUUGCUUCGUAAAUAAAACUUGUACAUUACACUUUUUACCUAGUUAAAUCAUGUUUUAUUUCAUAUUUCACCUUGUUACAAGUUAGGAGAAACAUUGUUGCACAUUAUUACACAACUUAACUAACAAAAUUACUCAUUAUAAUGUU